ACUCCUUCGGUAAGGGGCCCUGCGGAAGGAUCAUUA
rnacentral:rRNA from 1 species